ensembl:scaRNA
GCCCCGAGUCCCCGAGAUAGCCCCCAAUGAGUUCGCGGUAUCUUCCUUAUAUGAUCAGGCCCCAUUGCUGGUGUCGCCACUAACCCAGAGCCUGAGAAGAUUAUGAAAAUGUGUCUGGCAAAGUGGGGCUGGGGACCAGGAC